UUAAUACUCCCUCCGUCCCAAAAUUCUUGUCUUAGAUUAGUCUAGAUACGGAUGUAUCUAAUACUAAAACGUGACUUGAUACAUCCGUAUUUAGACAAAUUUAAGACAAGAAUUUGGGGACGGAGGGAGUCUAUA
rfam:Triticum aestivum genome assembly, contig: Triticum_aestivum_CS42_TGACv1_scaffold_193636_3AL